rnacentral:rRNA from 1 species
CGCGACCCCAGGUCAGGCGGGGCUACCCGCUGAGUUUAAGCAUAUCAAUAAGCGGAGGAAAAGAAACUAACGAGGAUUCCCCUAGUAACGGCGAGCGAACCG